rnacentral:snRNA from 13 species
AGCUUUGCACAGUGGUAGUAUCGUAGCCAAUGAGGUUUAUCUGAGGCACGAUUAUUAAUAAUUAAAUCGAUAGGCCAAUGUCCCCCAAAACAAAGUUCAAGAGUAGGAUCAGGGUUUAUUUAGAUAAAGUCAGCAUCAAACACUCUGGAUCCCAUAAAAGAUGCUCUAAAGUAAUUUUUUUAAAAUCAUGUAUUCUAAGUGUGAC